UUGACCUCAAAUCGGGUGAGACUACCCCGCUGAACUUUAAGCAUAU
rnacentral:rRNA from 1 species